AUGCAAUUUUUCCUAAUUUUAAUUGACAUCAAGCACGCGGUGGCGGCGGCGACGGCGCAGAAGCGGCUCCGCUUCGAGCUCUCCCCUCCAUUGAGGCCGCCGCAGGCGCAGCCAGAGAGGAGGGAGAAGAGACCGUACCGGUUCCGGCCAGGGACGGUGGUGCUGCGCGAGAUCAGGAGGUACCAGAAAUCCACCGCGCUGCUCAUCCCCCUCGCGCGCUUCGUCCGCCUGGUUAGGGAGAUCACCCAGGACCUCAGUAAGCCGGGAGAGUUUUUACGCUGGACUCCUCAGGCGCUCGUCGCGCUGCAAGAGGCUGCAGAAUAUGAAAUGGUCGACCAAUUAGAAAGGGCAAAUCUCUGUGCCAUCCACGCGAAACGUGUUACCAUCAUGCAGAAGGACAUGCAGCUCCUGAGGCGUCUCGGGGGGAGAAGGCCUUGGUGA
rnacentral:rRNA from 1 species